GGUUUCUUGUAAAAAAUUAAGAAAUUUAAUCUGCCCACUGAAUGAAUUUUUGAAGGGCCGCAGUAUUUUGACUGUGCAAAGGUAGCAUAAUCAUUAGUCUUUUAAUUGAAGGCUUGUAUGAAUGAUUGGACGAAGUGAAUACUGUUUUAUAUAAAUUAUUAUUGAAUUUAGGUUUUAAGUAAAAAAACUUAAAUAUUAUUAAGGGACGAGAAGACCCUAUAGAGUUUAAUAUAUGAAAUAAUUAAUUGAGUUAAAAUUUAAUUUUUGGUUAUUAUUAAAUUUAUUUGAUUGGGGUGAUUAAAAAAUAAUUAAAACUUUUUUUUUAAAUUUGAUAUUAUAAGUAAUUAUAUGAUCCAUUAAUUGAUGAUUAAAAGAUUAAAUUACCUUAGGGAUAACAGCAUAAUUUUUUUUAAGAGUUCAUAUCGAAAAAAAAGAUUAUGACCUCGAUGUUGGAUUAAGAAUAGUUUUAGGGUGUAGAAGUUCAAUAACUAGGUCUGUUCGACCUUAUAAUUCUUACA
rnacentral:rRNA from 1 species